AACGCGAAGAACCUUACCUGGGCUUGAACCGCACAGGACCAUCUUUAGAAAUAGAGACUUCCCGCAAGGGACCUGUGUAGAGGUGCUGCAUGGCUGUCGUCAGCUCGUGCCGUGAGGUGUUGGGUUAAGUCCCGCAACGAGCGCAACCCUUACUCGUAGUUGCCACCCGCAAGGGGGAACUCUACGAGGACUGCUCCGGAUAACGGAGAGGAAGGUGGGGAUGAGGUCAAGUCAGCAUGGCCUUUAUGUCCAGGGCUACACACGUGCUACAAUGGAAGGGACAACGAGUCGCGAACCCGCGAGGGCAAGCUAAUCUCACAAACCCUUUCUCAGUUCGGAUUGAAGGCUGCAACUCGCCUUCAUGAAGUCGGAAUCGCUAGUAACCGUAGAUCAGCUACGCUGCGGUGAAUACGUUCCCGGGCCUUGUACACACCGAUAGC
rnacentral:rRNA from 1 species